rnacentral:rRNA from 1 species
AAUUAUUAUUAGAUUUUUAAAUAAUUAUUCACGAAAUAAAUUGAGCUAAAUUUUUGGUAUUUUUGGAAAUUAUAACUAUAUGUUACAAAAUAUAUUAACUAAAUAGAUUUAGGGGUGAAAGGCCUAUCAAAUUUUAUGAUAUCUUGAAGUAUAUAAAAUAUAUCAAGUAUUUCUAAUUCAACUAUUGAAUGUUUAGGUUCAAUAGUAACAUUAUAUUUUUAAAAAAAUUGUUCAAUUUUUUUAAGUAAAAUUGAGUUAGAGCAUAAAAUAUACAUCAAAUUUUUAUUAUAUGAAUAUAAAUAUACUACGGUUAUUAAUAAAUAUAAUCAUAUAUAAUGUAAUUAUUAGUAAUAGUUUAUUAAACUAUAUAAAGGAAUUCGGCAAGAAAAUUUUUCACCUGUUUAUCAAAAACAUAGCUUAUUGAAUAUCAUAAUAAGUAACCCCUGCUCAAUGGAAAUCUAAAUAGCCGCAGUACCUUGACUGUGCAAAGGUAGCAUAAUCAAUUGGCUUAUAAUUGAAGUCUGGAAUGAAUGGGUAAUCUGGAAAAUAACUGUCUUUAUUUGUAGUAUUUUGAAUUUACUUAUAAAGUGAAAAUACUUUAAUAUAAAUAUAAGACGAGAAGACCCUAGAAAUUUUUUGUUAAUAACUUUUGUUGGGGCGACAGGGUAACAUAUAAACUUACUUACAUUUAUAUAAAUCUUAUAAGGUACGUAACUAAAUUACUCUAGGGAUAACAGCAUAAUAUAUAAAAGUUUAUGACCUCGAUGUUGGACUAGGUAAUUAAAUAUUUAAAAGAUAUCUUAAUUUGCUCUGUUCGAGCAGUACCACCUACAU